GAUGAACGCUGGCGGCGUGCCUAAUACAUGCAAGUCGAGCGAAGCGGGGACGGGGGAGUAACACGUGGAGAACAUCCUAUAAGACUGGGAUAACAUCGGGAAACCGGAGCUAAAACGGAUAAUGAUAGAUGGAGGCGCGCUGCAUUAGCUAGUUGGUAAGGUAACGGCGUACCAAGGCAACGAUGCAUAGCCGACCUGAGAGGGUGAUCGGCCACACUGGAACUGAGCCACGGUCCAGACUCCUACGGGAGGCAGCAGUAGGGAAUCUUCCGCAAUGGGCGAAAGCCUGACGCAGCAACGCCGCGUGAGUGAUGAAGGUCUUCGGAUCGUAAAACUCUGUUAUUAGGGAAGCGGUACCUAAUCAGAAAGCCCCGGCUAACUACGUGCCAGCAGCCGCGGUAAUAC
rnacentral:rRNA from 1 species